rnacentral:lncRNA from 1 species
GGGGAUGACCAUACGCUUGGUGCGAUCAUAAGGCGGCGGGACGCCCUCGAACGCCUUCAGCCUGGCGAGCGCAGCCUCGCCGCGGGGCGUCUUGUGCGGGAUCAUGCCGCGCACGGUGCGCCAGAAAAUUUUCGAGGGGGCGCGGAAGUGGAUGGGACCGUGCGACGGCUUGGUGUUCAUCCGCUUGCGGAGGAAGCGGAGGUACUUCAUCUUCUGACGGACCAGCCCGCCGGAGAUGCACAUCUCCUCGCACCGAACCACCACCACGCGCUGCCCGUUGAGCAGCUCCUUGGCCACGAUCGACGCAAGGCGUCCCAGCAUGUGGUG